AUUGAACGCUGGCGGCAGGCCUAACACAUGCAAGUCGAGCGGUAACACAGGGAGCCUGCUCCUGGGUGACGAGCGGCGGACGGGUGAGUAAUGUCUGGGAAACUGCCUGAUGGAGGGGGAUAACUACUGGAAACGGUAGCUAAUACCGCAUAACGUCGCAAGACCAAAGAGGGGGACCUUCGGGCCUCUUGCCAUCAGAUGUUCCCAGAUGGGAUUAGCGAGUAGGUGGGGUAAUGGCUCACCUAGGCGACGAUCCCUAGAUGGUCUGAGAGGAUGACCAGCCACACUGGAACUGAGACACGGUCCAGACUCCUACGGGAGGCAGCAGUGGGGAAUAUUGCACAAUGGGCGCAAGCCUGAUGCAGCCAUGCCGCGUGUAUGAAGAAGGCCUUCGGGUUGUAAAGUACUUUCAGCGGGGAGGAAGGUGUUGAGGUUAAUAACCUCAGCAAUUGACGUUACCCGCAGAAGAAGCACCGGCUAACUCCGUGCCAGCAGCCGCCGUAAAAC
rnacentral:rRNA from 1 species